rnacentral:rRNA from 1 species
AGUGAACGCUGGCGGUAGGCCUAACACAUGCAAGUCGAGCGGCAGCACAGUAAUAGCUUGCUCUUACGGGUGGCGAGUGGCGGACGGGUGCGGAAUACAUCGGAAUCUACUUUUUCGUGGGGGAUAACGUAGGGAAACUUACGCUAAUACCGCAUACGACCUACGGGUGAAAGCAUGGGAUCUUCGGACCUUGCGCGAUUGAAUGACCCGAUGUCGGAUUAGCUAGUUGGCGGGGUAAAGGCCCACCAAGGCGACGAUCCGUAGCUGGUCUGAGAGGAUGAUCAGCCACACUGGAACUGAGACACGGUCCAGACUCCUACGGGAGGCAGCAGUGGGGAAUAUUGGACAAAGGGCGCAAGCCUGAUCCAGCCAUACCGCGUGGGUGAAGAAGGUCUUCGGGUUGUAAAGCCCUUUUGUUGGGAAAGAAAAGCAGCAGGUUAAUACCCCGCUGUUCUGACGGUACCCAAAGAAUAAGCACCGGCUAACUUCGUG